CAAGAGCUGCUAUUUAAUUUAUUGUUUUAAACGUUUUACUACAAUUAAGGACAUAUAUGUUGAUAAGGAUAAUUGACCAUGAAUAUUGUUGAUUGACCAUGAAUAUUGUUGACUAUUGACAUGUGAUCUAGCAUGUUAUCUUUUAUAAACCUCAGUUAAGUUAUAAGAAGAGCCAUGAUGUUUGUUCCUUUGUUUAAAGGACCUUGCAUUACCUGUUGGUUAACCCUACUGUACUGAUAAUGUAUCCUAUUGCUCUUACGUGUAACAGGCAGAACUUGUAGCAUCAUCUGUAGCCUAAUAUUUCUGUGAACUGGCAGCUAGUAGGGAAAGUAUGGUUUAACUAGGCAAAGAGUCAGUGAGGUGUGAAGAUCUAAAAAAAGAAAAGAAAAAAGAAAAAAAAAUAAGGUUUAACAAUUUUCAAGAUGGCCACUACUGUACCUGUUUUGAAGUUGUGGUCCUAAUGAACCUUGGAGAUAAUUAGGUGCCUUCAAAAAGCAGUCUAGAAGGCCUUACACGUAGCAAAAGACUACAUGUCUUCUGUUUCUUAUUGCUUGGUUUUGAGGCAGGUGUUUGAAUUCCUGCCCUGCUCUAAGGUUAGACACCCGACUGCGGAUUUGCAUGUUAAUGUGUGUUUCAUCUGACCAAAUGUGUAUAUAUCUAUGUCUGACUCCAUUUACAGUUGAUGUUUAGGAAGAGUUGUUUGCAGAAUUCAUGUCCUCCUACUGUAGAAAAGGAGCAUACAGCAUGCUUUUGGACAUCUGCAGUGAAAAGCUAGUUCAGAUGAAUCUCCCUUUUGUGUCUCUGCCCAUGCAGGUUGCGCAGCAUGGAACCCAUCGGUGCAGUGGUAGGCACCUGUCUGAGCAUUGCUUGUGCUUUUUGAAAGAGAGCAGGAAGAUGGGAGGUGGGGGAUCGCUAUUUAGUCACGUAGCUGGAGUACUUGCCAAAGGGUGGGAGAAUGGGUUUCAAUUCCUUAUUCAGCCUAGAAGGACUCAUGCUCAUGUCUCAUAGUUCCUAAAAGAAUAGUCUUAUCAAGUUCCUCUGAUUUGGGAAAAAAAAUGUCCAUACAAAAACCAGUAAUCUAUUCCUAGAUCAGUUUUAAGGAGCAAAAUCCUAUACUGUAUUGUGGAAGUGAUAACAUUUUGCAGGUAGUGCUUAUGUGAUUGCACAAGUACUAGCUAAUCCUUGGUUAUAUCAGUCCCCAGUUGUUGACAGCCUGUGAAAAGUUUGAUCAGUUCAGCAAAGACUUAACAUUUUUUCCCAGAGAGAUAAUUUGUCAGUGGCUAGACAGUAUUGCUCUCCUCGUUUCUGUGACCAGACUGCCACCAAUAUCUCAGCUGGCUGGUUGAAAACUGGGUUGAGUGAGUUGCCAGCAUUACAGCGGGGAAUGCAGUAAGCGUACUCUUGCUGUGAUGAUGUUAUCACAAAAGGACUUUAUGCUACGAAGAGUUAGAUCUUAAAAAAAUACUGGUAUUUUAAUGUGUGGAAAUGCACAGUGAAGUACUCAAAGUAACUUAAUUUCACUUCCCUCCUAACUUCCAUACAGUCUAAUUUUUGGUGAUUUACUUUAGAUACUUAAAAGAAAGCCAGACCUCAUAAUUUGGAUUUUAAGUUAUUAGAUUUUUUUCUUAUUAUAACCAUGAAGGUUAAAAGCUUUUUAAUCACUACUCUUUAGGGAUUGAUUAUCAAAGAGUUUCUUUGUGCAAAACUAACCAAAGUAUCAAUGAUCGGAUUGAAGCAUGAAUCAAGAAAACAUUCAUGGCAACUUGUGGGACAAGUAGAAUGUGUUUCUUCUGCAUAGUGUUUACAAUCUAAUUCAGUAGUGUUAUUGUGUUUCUUACUGUUGACAUAUAAAGACUAUAUUAUAAAUUCUGAUUCUUUUUCCACAGCUAUUCUUAGGUGUUCUGAAAAUAAUUUUUCUCCUUCUAACACCCUUCUUUCAAUCUUCAUGACCUUCUUUACAAAACGCUUUCAUAACACAUUAUUUACUCUUACCAUUCUUUUUAGUUGUGGUCCUCGUCCACUGCGAAUCAGUCUUGAAUGGGUUUUUUUCUGUCUAUGUGUUUUUCUAUCUGUAUAUUUUGUAAUGGUGGGAAAAGGAGGAGGAUGAAUAUUUCUGCGUGUAAACCAGUUUAUUUUUGCAGUUAAACUUUCCAAGUUAGCUUUGCAAAUGUACCUAACAGAUGGAAAAGUGUAGUUCUCUGAGGUCAUGUCACCUAUCACCUUACUAAUGCAAGUCUGUCAAACCAGUGGAAAUUUGUACGGUUUAAACACUUUUAAUUAGAAACCACAUACUUAUAAAUUACUGUAAUUGCUAUAGCCAUUUUGUAUCUGACUGGUGCUUCUAUGAGGCUUUUGUGCAAAGGC